rnacentral:rRNA from 1 species
AUUAGAUACCCUGGGUAGUCCGCACGGUAAACGAUGGAUGCCCGCCGUUGGGUAUUUUUAUUCAGCGGCCAAGCGAAAGCGUUAAGCAUCCCACCUGGGGAGUACGCCGGCAACGGUGAAACUCAAAGGAAUUGACGGGGGCCCGCACAAGCGGAGGAACAUGUGGUUUAAUUCGAUGAUACGCGAGGAACCUUACCCGGGCUCAAACGGAAGUGGACGGACUGAGAAAUCAGUCUUUCCUUCGGGACCGCUUCCGAGGUGCUGCAUGGUUGUCGUCAGCUCGUGCCGUGAGGUGUCGGCUUAAGUGCCAUAACGAGCGCAACCCCUACCGACAGUUGCUAACAGAUUAAGCUGAGGACUCUGUCGGGACUGCCGGCGCAAGCUGUGAGGAAGGCGGGGAUGACGUCAAAUCAGCACGGCCCUUACGUCCGGGGCGACACACGUGUUACAAUGGCAGGUACAGCGGGAAGCCACCCGGCGACGGGGCGUGGAACCCGAAAACCUGUCUCAGUUCGGAUUGGAGUCUGCAACCCGACUCCAUGAAGCUGGAUUCGCUAGUAAUCGCGCAUCAGCCACGGCGCGGUGAAUACGUUCCCGGGCCUUGUACACACCGCCCGUCAAGCCAUGGAAGCCGGGAGUGCCUGAAGUACGUGACCGUAAAAGGAGCGUCCUAGGGUAAAACCGGUGACUGGGGCUAAGUCGUAACAAGGUAAC